rnacentral:rRNA from 1 species
CCUACGUGAGGCUGCAGUGGGGAAUAUUGCACAAUGGGGUACACCCUGAUGCAGCGACGCCGCGUGAAGGAAGAAGUAUUUCGGUAUGUAACCUUCUAUCAGCAGGGAAGAAAAUGACGGUACCUGACUAAGAAGCCCCGGCUAACUACGUGCCAGCAGCCGCGGUAAUACGUAGGGGGCAAGCGUUAUCCGGAUUUACUGGGUGUAAAGGGAGCGUAGGCGGUAAUGCAAGUCAGAAGUGAAAGCCCGGGGCUCAACUCCGGGACUGCUUUUGAAACUGUGUUGCUAGAUUGCAGGAGAGGUAAGUGGAACUCCAAGUGUAGCGGUGAAAUGCGUAGAUAUUAGGAGGAACACCAGUGGCGAAAGCGGCUUACUGGACUGUAAAUGACGCUGAGGUUCGAAAGCGUGGGUAGCAAACAGGAUUAGAUACCCGUGUAGUC